ensembl:lncRNA
AGGGCAGGGGUUUGGAGGGAGGAGGGUAGGAGUUUGGAGGGAGGAGAGCGUUGGUUUGAAGGUAUGAGGAAUGGAGGAGGGUAGAGGUUUGGAGGGAGGAGAGCAGGGAUUUGGAGGGAGGAGGGCAGGGGUUUGGAGGGAGGAGACCAGGGGUUUGGAGGGCGGAGAGCAGGGGUUUGGAGGGCGGAGGGCAGGGGUUUGGGGGGAGUAGGGUAGGAGCUUGGAGGGAGGAGAGCAGGGGUUUGGAGGGAGGAGACCAGGGGUUUGGAGGGAGGAGAGCAGAGGUUUGUAGGAAGGAGAGCAGAGGUUUGGAGGGAGGAGAGCAGAGGUUUGUAGGAAGGAGAGCAGAGGUUUGGAGGGAGGAGAGCAGAGGUUUGGAGGGAGGAGAGCAGGGGUUUGGAGGGAGGAGAGCAGAGGUUUGGAGGGAGGAGAGCAGAGGUUUGGAGGGAGGAGAGCAGGGGUUUGGAGGGAGGAGAGCAGAGGUUUGGAGGGAGGAGAGCAGGGGUUUGGAGGGAGGAGGUAGGGAGUAGGGUAGGAGCUUGGAGGGAGGAGAGCAGGGGUUUGGAGGUGGGAUGGAUGAGAGCAGAGUUUUGGAGGGAGGAGGGAUAAGAGCAGAGGUUUGGAGUGAGAUGGAAUGGAGGAAGGCAGAGGUUUGGAGGGAGGAG